AUUUACUUUUUAAUCAAUGCUUAUAAAUACUAAAAGCUUGCUUUAAAUGAUUCAAACUCAGAACCUCUUAUUUUGAUAUUAUGUUAAAUAAUGCGAAAUAACCAUUUGUUUCAAACACUUUAAAUUAGUAAAGAAUGAUAUUUAUAUAUUUUGUAGUCAACAAUUGCGCUGUUACCGACCGUCGCUAGAGCAAGUGGCAAAGGGCUUGAUGGUUGGUAUCCGAGAUCCAAGUUCGAAUCCUAGUUGAUUCACAUUUCUAGCUAAAUUUAUUUCUAAAUGAAAUAAACUAAGCGGAUAACAUUGCUAUCUAUCUCUCAAAAAAAAAAACCAAUUAUACCGUUUUAUGGUGUUUGAUUUUG
rnacentral:lncRNA from 1 species